rnacentral:rRNA from 1 species
GAUGAACGCUGGCGGCGUGCCUAAUACAUGCAAGUCGAGCGAACGGACGAGAAGCUUGCUUCUCUGAUGUUAGCGGCGGACGGGUGAGUAACACGUGGAUAACCUACCUAUAAGACUGGGAUAACUUCGGGAAACCGGAGCUAAUACCGGAUAAUAUUUUGAACCGCAUGGUUCAAAAGUGAAAGACGGUCUUGCUGUCACUUAUAGAUGGAUCCGCGCUGCAUUAGCUAGUUGGUAAGGUAACGGCUUACCAAGGCAACGAUGCAUAGCCGACCUGAGAAGGUGAUCGGCCACACUGGAACUGAGACACGGUCCAGACUCCUACGGGAGGCAGCAGUAGGGAAUGUUCCGCAAUGGGCGAAAGCCUGACGGAGCAACGCCGCGUGAGUGAUGAAGGUCUUCGGAUCGUAAAACUCUGUUAUUAGGGAAGAACAUAUGUGUAAGUAACUGUGCACAUCUUGACGGUACCUAAUCAGAAAGCCACGGCUAACUACGUG